GGCGUCUGUUUGCAAAAGAUUCUCAUUGGUUGAUUCACCAAAAACAAUUAAGGGGGUGAAAGUACCCCAUUUGCAAGGAUCACUUCAGCUCGUCGAUUGUUGCUGCUUAGAACAAUAGUUAAGUGGCGUCUGUUUGCAAAAGAUUCUCAUUGGUUGAUUCACCAAAAACAAUUAAAGGGGUGAAAGUACCCCAUUUGCAAGGAUCGCCUGAGCUCGUCGAUUGUUGCUGCUUAGAACAAUAGUUAAGUGGCGUCUGUUUGCAAAAGAUUCUCAUUGGUUGAUUCACCAAAAACAAUUAAAGGGGUGAAAGUACCCCAUUUGCAAGGAUCGCCUGAGCUCGUCGAUUGUUGCUGCUUAGAACAAUAGUUAAGUGGCGUCUGUUUGCAAAAGAUUCUCAUUGGUUGAUUCACCAAAAACAAUUAAAGGGGUGAAAGUACCCCAUUUGCAAGGAUCGCCUGAGCUCGUCGAUUGUUGCUGCUUAGAACAAUAGUUAAGUGGCGUCUGUUUGCAAAAGAUUCUCAUUGGUUGAUUCACCAAAAACAAUUAAAGGGGUGAAAGUACCCCAUUUGCAAGGAUCGCCUGAGCUCGUCGAUUGUUGCUGCUUAGAACAAUAGUUAAGUGGCGUCUGUUUGCAAAAGAUUCUCAUUGGUUGAUUCACCAAAAACAAUUAAAGGGGUGAAAGUACCCCAUUUGCAAGGAUCGCCUGAGCUCGUCGAUUGUUGCUGCUUAGAACAAUAGUUAAGUGGCGUCUGUUUGCAAAAGAUUCUCAUUGGUUGAUUCACCAAAAACAAUUAAAGGGGUGAAAGUACCCCAUUUGCAAGGAUCGCCUGAGCUCGUCGAUUGUUGCUGCUUAGAACAAUAGUUAAGUGGCGUCUGUUUGCAAAAGAUUCUCAUUGGUUGAUUCACCAAAAACAAUUAAAGGGGUGAAAGUACCCCAUUUGCAAGGAUCGCCUGAGCUCGUCGAUUGUUGCUGCUUAGAACAAUAGUUAAGUGGCGUCUGUUUGCAAAAGAUUCUCAUUGGUUGAUUCACCAAAAACAAUUAAAGGGGUGAAAGUACCCCAUUUGCAAGGAUCGCCUGAGCUCGUCGAUUGUUGCUGCUUAGAACAAUAGUUAAGUGGCGUCUGUUUGCAAAAGAUUCUCAUUGGUUGAUUCACCAAAAACAAUUAAAGGGGUGAAAGUACCCCAUUUGCAAGGAUCGCCUGAGCUCGUCGAUUGUUGCUGCUUAGAACAAUAGUUAAGUGGCGUCUGUUUGCAAAAGAUUCUCAUUGGUUGAUUCACCAAAAACAAUUAAAGGGGUGAAAGUACCCCAUUUGCAAGGAUCGCCUGAGCUCGUCGAUUGUUGCUGCUUAGAACAAUAGUUAAGUGGCGUCUGUUUGCAAAAGAUUCUCAUUGGUUGAUUCACCAAAAACAAUUAAAGGGGUGAAAGUACCCCAUUUGCAAGGAUCGCCUGAGCUCGUCGAUUGUUGCUGCUUAGAACAAUAGUUAAGUGGCGUCUGUUUGCAAAAGAUUCUCAUUGGUUGAUUCACCAAAAACAAUUAAAGGGGUGAAAGUACCCCAUUUGCAAGGAUCGCCUGAGCUCGUCGAUUGUUGCUGCUUAGAACAAUAGUUAAGUGGCGUCUGUUUGCAAAAGAUUCUCAUUGGUUGAUUCACCAAAAACAAUUAAAGGGGUGAAAGUACCCCAUUUGCAAGGAUCGCCUGAGCUCGUCGAUUGUUGCUGCUUAGAACAAUAGUUAAGUGGCGUCUGUUUGCAAAAGAUUCUCAUUGGUUGAUUCACCAAAAACAAUUAAAGGGGUGAAAGUACCCCAUUUGCAAGGAUCGCCUGAGCUCGUCGAUUGUUGCUGCUUAGAACAAUAGUUAAGUGGCGUCUGUUUGCAAAAGAUUCUCAUUGGUUGAUUCACCAAAAACAAUUAAAGGGGUGAAAGUACCCCAUUUGCAAGGAUCGCCUGAGCUCGUCGAUUGUUGCUGCUUAGAACAAUAGUUAAGUGGCGUCUGUUUGCAAAAGAUUCUCAUUGGUUGAUUCACCAAAAACAAUUAAAGGGGUGAAAGUACCCCAUUUGCAAGGAUCGCCUGAGCUCGUCGAUUGUUGCUGCUUAGAACAAUAGUUAAGUGGCGUCUGUUUGCAAAAGAUUCUCAUUGGUUGAUUCACCAAAAACAAUUAAAGGGGUGAAAGUACCCCAUUUGCAAGGAUCGCCUGAGCUCGUCGAUUGUUGCUGCUUAGAACAAUAGUUAAGUGGCGUCUGUUUGCAAAAGAUUCUCAUUGGUUGAUUCAC